GGGUGUGAACAUACCAGCACUAAUGCUCCGGAUCCCAUCAGAACUCCGCAGUUAAACGUGCUUGGGCGAGAGUAGUACUAGGUUAAGUGACCUAUUGGGAACUCCUCGUGUUGCACCCC
rnacentral:rRNA from 1 species